rnacentral:rRNA from 1 species
UACGUAGGUGGCAAGCGUUGUCCGGAUUUACUGGGCGUAAAGAGCGCGCAGGCGGUCAGAUAAGUCGAAUGUGAAAGCCCCCGGCUCAACUGGGGAGGGUCAUUCGAUACUGUUCGACUCGAAGGCAGGAGAGGGAAGUGGAAUUCCCGGUGUAGUGGUGAAAUGCGUAGAUAUCGGGAGGAACACCAGUGGCGAAGGCGGCUUCCUGGCCUGUUCUUGACGCUGAGGCGCGAAAGCUAGGGGAGCAAACGGG